rnacentral:rRNA from 1 species
CGAAUGCUGACGUGAGUAACGACAAAACGGGUGAAAAACCCGUUCGCCGAAAGACCAAGGGUUCCAGUCCAACGUUAAUCGGGGCUGGGUGAGUCGACCCCUAAGGCGAGGCCGAAAGGCGUAGUCGAUGGGAAAAUGGUUAAUAUUCCAUUACUUCUGUGUAAUGCGAUGAGAGGACGGAGAAGGCUAAAUCAGCCUGGCGUUGGUUGUCCAGGUGAAAGGAUGUAGGCAUGUAUCUUAGGCAAAUCCGGGGUACUCUAUGCUGAGAUCUGAUAGCAAGCUGUACUUGUACAGCGAAGUGGUUGAUGCCAUGCUUCCAGGAAAAGUCUCUAAGCUUCAGUUACACAGGAAUCGUACCCGAAACCGACACAGGUGGUCAGGUCGAGUAGACCAAGGCGCUUGAGAGAACUCUGCUGAAGGAACUAGGCAAAAUGGUACCGUAACUUCGGGAGAAGGUACGCUGUUGUUGGUGAUGGAACUCGCUUCCUGAGCUGACGACAGCCGCAGAAACCAGGCCGCUG